rnacentral:rRNA from 1 species
GACGAACGCUGGCGGCGUGCCUAAUACAUGCAAGUAGAACGCAGUUGCGAACGGGUGAGUAACGCGUAGGUAACUGCCUCAUAGGGGGGGAUAACUAUUGGAAACGCUAGCUAAUACCGCAUACUGUGAGAUGGACCUGCGUUGUAUUAGCUAGUUGGUGAGGUAAAGGCUCGCCAAGGCGACGAUACAUAGCCGACCUGAGAGGGUGAUCGGCCUCACGGGGACUUAGACACGGAGCAGACGCCUAGGGGAGGCAGCGGGAGGGAUUCGUAGGCCAUGGACGAAAGUCGGACCGAGCAACGCGGCGUGUGUGAGGAAGGUUUUCGGAUCGUAGAGCUCUGUUGUUAGAUAGGCGGUAACUAGCCAGAAAGGGAAGGCUAACUACGUGCCAGCAGCCGCGGUAAUUC